AUUGAACGCUGGCGGCAUGCUUUACACAUGCAAGUCGAACGGCAGCACGGACUUCGGUCUGGUGGCGAGUGGCGAACGGGUGAGUAAUACAUCGGAACGUACCCAGUAAUGGGGGAUAACUAUCCGAAAGGAUAGCUAAUACCGCAUACGCCCUACGGGGGAAAGAGGGGGAUCGCAAGACCUCUUGUUAUUGGAGCGGCCGAUGGCUGAUUAGCUAGUUGGUGGGGUAAAGGCCUACCAAGGCAACGAUCAGUAGCGGGUCUUAGAGGACGAUCCGCCACACUGGAACUGAGACACGGUCCAGACUCCUACGGGAGGCAGCAGUGGGGAAUCUUGGACAAUGGGCGCAAGCCUGAUCCAGCAAUGCCGCGUGCGUGAAGAAGGCCUUCGGGUUGUAAAGCGCUUUUGUCAGGGAGCAAAUCCUUGUGGCUAAUACCCACCGGGGAUGAGAGUACCUGAAGAAUAAGGACCGGCUAACUACGUGCCAGCCGCCGCGGUAAAAC
rnacentral:rRNA from 1 species